rnacentral:rRNA from 1 species
UAGGGAAUCUUCCGCAAUGGACGAAAGUCUGACGGAGCAACGCCGCGUGAGUGAAGAAGGAUUUCGGUUCGUAAAACUCUGUUGUUAGGGAAGAAAAAAUGUAUAGUAACUAUAUACAAAAGAGACGGUACCUAACCAGAAAGCCACGGCUAACUACGUGCCAGCAGCCGCGGUAAUACGUAGGUGGCAAGCGUUGUCCGGAAUUAUUGAGCGUAAAGCGCGCGCAGGUGGUUUAGAAAGUCUGAUGUGAAAGCCCACGGCUCAACCGUGGAGGGUCAUUGGAAACUAAUAAACUUGAGUGCAGGAGAGAAAAGUGGAAUUCCUAGUGUAGCGGUGAAAUGCGUAGAGAUUAGGAGGAACACCGGUGGCGAAAGCGGCUUUUUGGCCUGCAACUGACACUGAGGCGCGAAAGCGUGGGGAGCAAACAGG